UUUCCUGUAACUUUUCUAUCUUCAAUAUUUCAUUUUUUACUUAACGUUUCUUUUCAAUCACCCACUUUUCCUUUCCAAUUUUUAUCAAAACCUAAUUCCGCCAAAAUAGGUGAUAGGUGAUACGUUGGUGGAAAAAGUAGUUUCAUGGUCUUUGAAGAGAUUGAUAAAUAUGACAGAAGCAGGGAUUGCUUUAUUCUCAUGUAAUUGAUUUUUCAAGACAGGACAUUAUGAGGAAAACAGAACUGUUAGUGCAAUAUAAGAAAUAUGUAAGACUAUGUCAAAGGGAACUAAUAAGAAGCAUUUUUUUUCACAUUUGCAGAAAGGGAUCUGAUCACCUGCAAAGCAAUGUAACACCACUUGAGGGUUCAGUUUCACAUAUAUUGCUCAUGCACUAACCCUAAUGCAAGUAAGAUUACAGAGUUACAUUUGCCCAUGAGAAUGAAUCAAUUUUCCAUUUUUUACUUGAUUAUGUACCGUACUUUCUAUUCUUCACACACACACACACACACACACACACACACACACACACACACACACACACACACACACACACACACACACACACACACA